UCGGAGUGGAGACUCAUGAACAUAUGUACCUAUACAUAUAUUAAUCAUAUUUACACCUCAACCAUGAUGGGGCCAUUGUAGAUCAGCAGUUACAAAUACAGUUUUAAUAAUAUCAUAAAAAAAAUAAUGUAAGAAAAAAAAUUUACAAAAAUAGUAGCCAAAAAUGUACAUAUAUUUAUUAUUCCACUUCUAAAUAUGAAAAAAAUACAAAAUUUAAAGAAGAGCUAUAUAAAUACCAUUAUAAUCCAUAUAUUGAUGAUGCAAAUAUAAGACCAUAUUUAAUUUUAAAAAGUGAAGUGGAGAAAAUAACACAUGAUAAAAGAUUAAAACGAAAUGUACCAUUAGUAUAUAAAAAAAUAAAACAAAGUUUGUUAUGGAGGUCUAAAAUAAUAAAAAAACAAAACGAUUAUGAUCCUUUUAUUUUAACUAGCGAUAUAUCAGAUAAUGGUCCUACUGUAUUGGGGGAGUAUGUUACUAAUGGAGGGAAUUCCAAUACAGACAU
rnacentral:lncRNA from 1 species